UACGAAGGGUGCAAGCGUUACUCGGAAUUACUGGGCGUAAAGCGUGCGUAGGUGGUUCGUUAAGUCUGAUGUGAAAGCCCUGGGCUCAACCUGGGAAUGGCAUUGGAAACUGGCGACCUAGAGUGCGGUAGAGGGUAGUGGAAUUCCCGGUGUAGCAGUGAAAUGCGUAGAGAUCGGGAGGAACAUCUGUGGCGAAGGCGACUGCCUGGACCAGCACUGACACUGAGGCACGAGAGCGUGGGGAGCAAACAGG
rnacentral:rRNA from 1 species